rnacentral:tRNA from 1 species
UUUUUCGGGGUGUUUUUGCACGUUAGAUUUUCGUUCUAAAAGAAUAAUGUUUUGUUAUCGAAGAUAC